rnacentral:tRNA from 1 species
UCCCCGAUGGUCCAGUGGUUGAUUCCGCAUUUCCACUGCAGUGGGUGUGGGUUCAAUCCCCAGUUGGGGAA